AACGAACGCUGGCGGCAGGCUUAACACAUGCAAGUCGAACGCAUCCUUCGGGGUGAGUGGCAGACGGGUGGGUAACGCGUGGGAACGUGCCCUUCAGUUCGGGAUAACCCAGGGAAACUUGGGCUAAUACCGGAUACGUGCGAGAGCAGAAAGAUUUAUCGCUGAAGGAUCGGCCCGCGUCUGAUUGAGCUAGUUGGUGGGGUAAUGGCCCACCAAGGCGACGCUCAGUAGCUGGUCUGAGAGGAUGAUCAGCCACAUUGGGACUGAGACACGUCCCAAGCUCCUAGGGAAGGCGGCAGUGCGUAAUAUUCGACCAUGGGGCCAUGCUCGAUCAGGCCAUGCCGCGUGAGUGAUGAAGGCCUGAGGGUUGGAAAGCUCUGCCGUCCGGCGCGAUAAUGACGGUAGGGGAAGAAGAAGCCCCGGCUAUCUGCGUGGAAGCCGCCGCAGUAA
rnacentral:rRNA from 1 species